GAUGAACGCUAGCUACAGGCUUAACACAUGCAAGUCGAGGGGCAGCACGGAGAUAGCUUGCUAUCUUGGGUGGCGGCCGGCGCACGGGUGAGUAACGCGUAUCCAACCUGCCCAUUACUCUGGGAUAGCCUUGCGAAAGUAAGAUUAAUACCGGAUGUUGUUAAAAACCCGCAUGAGUUUUUAACCAAAGAUUUAUUGGUAAUGGAUGGGGAUGCGUGACAUUAGGUAGUUGGUGAGGUAACGGCUCACCAAGCCGACGAUGUCUAGGGGUUCUGGGAGGAAGGUCCCCCACACUGGAACUGAGACACGGUCCAGACUCCUACGGGAGGCAGCAGUGAGGAAUAUUGGUCAAUGGACGAGAGUCUGAACCAGCCAAGUAGCGUGCAGGAUGACGGCCCUCUGGGUUGUAAACUGCUUUUAGUUGGGAAUAAAAAGAGGGACGUGUCCCUAAUUGUAUGUACCAUCAGAAAAAGGACCGGCUAAUUCCGUGCCAGCCGCCGCAGUAAAAC
rnacentral:rRNA from 1 species